UGCCUGGCUCCCCGGGACAUGCAGGGCUGCUCAGGGCACUUUCGGACCUGUGGGAGGAAACAGCCUGCAAACCAAACCCGUCCUGCUCCUCAGGUUUCGGUGUGUUCAGCUCCAGGAUGCCCGCAGGGGGAUGCAGAGAAGUUGAAGCUGUAUUUAUUACUUUCCUGAAGCACAGCUAUCUAAGCAGGCCUGGUGAGGAGUGAUCCCUGGCCGUGGCAUGUCCCAGCAGACUUGGUGGAGUGUGACAGUGAGGGACGUGUGCUGCCUGACUCGCCCCCGGGGAGGUGAGGAGCAACAGGCAUUCUUGCUCGCUGCAUCCUUGCUGCCCACAAUUGCCCCCGUGCAGGAGGAGCUCCAAGAUCGCUCUUCUCCCCAUGGCAGCAGACAUCAGCCAUCGAGCCCGUUCCCAGGUAUCUUGCAGUGGAAGAUACGGCUCCUCGGGCGCCAGCAAAAUCACAGUUUCGGGAUUGAUCAGUGGUGAAUAACCAGCAUGUUUCUGCCUACUUAGCUGAGAUGACACAUUCAGACUACUGGUACUGGCUGGAGCGUGUGGUCCUGUGCUCAUUUCUUACAAACCAUCACCGCAGAGCAGCACACUCGGCUCUGCUGUGUAUAGCAGUACAUGCAAUGCAGGUAUGCUGCUCCGGCAAGGCACCUGUCAAAUGCAAAUACUGUCACAGGCGAAUUCCUCCUCAAAACUUCUACAGGGAGAGCUACGUGCAAGGAAGUCUGGCAAGAUAACCCAGAUCCUUUUCCCCUGAGCUGGGAUCCUGCCUUGUCAUUAUGCUGUGCUCAAGGCGGCAUGCCAGCACUGGAAUGGCACACUGUGAAGCCUGAAGGACACCUCCAGAGAGCACCCACCCCUCCCUGGUGCACUCUGACACCUUUCAUUUGAUUGAAAGUGGGAAGUCAGUCAUGACUGUCC